UGGACUUGCUUGGAUGUUACUCUAGAACC
rnacentral:piRNA from 1 species